rnacentral:rRNA from 1 species
UUUGGUGACUAUAUCCGAGGGGAUACACCUCUUCCCAUUCCGAACAGAGCAGUUAAGCCCUCGAGAGCCGAUGAUACUUAGCCAGUCAGGUUUGGGAAAGUAGGUCGUCGCCAGGG